rnacentral:misc_RNA from 1 species
UCCUGGUUAACCCAGGCAGUCCCCCUAGAGUGCCCAACCGAAUGCUGGCAACUAGGGGCGAGGGUUGCGCUCGUUGCGGGACUUAACCCAACAUCUCACGACACGAGCUGACGACAGCCAUGCAGCACCUGUGUUCCAGCCAGCCGAACUGAAGGACCCGAUCUCUCAGGCCCAUACUGGACAUGUCAAAGGUUGGUAAGGUUCUGCGCGUUGCUUCGAAUUAAACCACAUGCUCCGCUGCUUGUGCGGGUCCCCGUCAAUUCCUUUGAGUUUUAGCCUUGCGGCCGUACUCCCCAGGCGGGGCACUUAAUGCGUUAGCGUCGGCACGGGAGGAGUCGACACCUCCCACACCUAGUGCCCAUCGUUUACGGCGUGGACUAC